GACGAACGCUGGCGGCGUGCUUAACACAUGCAAGUCGAACGGAAAGGCCCUGCUUUUGUGGGGUGCUCGAGUGGCGAACGGGUGAGUAACACGUGAGUAACCUGCCCUUGACUUUGGGAUAACUUCAGGAAACUGGGGCUAAUACCGGAUAGGAGCUCCUGCUGCAUGGUGGGGGUUGGAAAGUUUCGGCGGUUGGGGAUGGACUCGCGGCUUAUCAGCUUGUUGGUGGGGUAGUGGCUUACCAAGGCUUUGACGGGUAGCCCGCCUGAGAGGGUGACCGGCCACAUUGGGACUGAGGUACGGCGCAGACUCCUACGGGAGGCAGCAGUGGGGAGUAUUGCACAAUGGGCGGAAGCCUGAUGCAGCAACGCCGGGUGCGGGAUGACGGCCUUCGGGUUGUAAACAGCUUUCGCCUGUGACGAAGCGGGAGUGACGGUAAUGGGUAAAGAAGCACCGGCUAACUACGUG
rnacentral:rRNA from 1 species